UACGGAGGGUGCAAGCGUUAUCCGGAUUCACUGGGUUUAAAGGGUGCGUAGGUGGAUUGGUAAGUCCGUGGUGAAAUCCCCGAGCUUAACUCGGGAACUGCCGUGGAUACUAUCAAUCUUGAAUACUGUGGAGGUAAGCGGAAUAUGUCAUGUAGCGGUGAAAUGCUUAGAUAUGACAUAGAACACCGAUAGCGAAGGCAGCUUGCUACACAGUCAUUGACACUGAGGCACGAAAGCGUGGGGAGCAAACGGG
rnacentral:rRNA from 1 species